AGUGAACGCUGGCGGUAGGCCUAACACAUGCAAGUCGAACGGCAGCACGGUAAGAGCUUGCUCUUACGGGUGGCGAGUGGCGGGCGGGUGAGGAAUACAUCGGAAUCUACUUUUUCGUGGGGGAUAACGUAGGGAAACUUACGCUAAUACCGCAUACGACCUACGGGUGAAAGCAGGGGAUCUUCGGACCUUGCGCGAUUGAAUGAGCCGAUGUCGGAUUAGCUAGUUGGCGGGGUAAAGGCCCACCAAGGCGACGAUCCGUAGCUGGUCUGAGAGGAUGAUCAGCCACACUGGAACUGAGACACGGUCCAGACUCCUACGGGAGGCAGCAGUGGGGAAUAUUGGACAAUGGGCGCAAGCCUGAUCCAGCCAUACCGCGUGGGUGAAGAAGGCCUUCGGGUUGUAAAGCCCUUUUGUUGGGAAAGAAAAGCAGCAGGUUAAUACCCCGCUGUUCUGACGGUACCCAAAGAAUAAGCACCGGCUAACUUCGUG
rnacentral:rRNA from 1 species